rnacentral:ribozyme from 1 species
GAGAGAAAGAGAGAAAUGAAAUGAAAAAGAAAGGGAGUGAAGAGACGUGGAGAGGAAGCCUGUCUUGAAGCGCUUGCUUCAAGACAAGCUUUUUUCUUCAUUCUUUUUACCUUUG